CGGCAUCAUUUAAAGAGGGGGUGGAUGUAGGAAUGAUGUAAAAUGUUUCUCCCAGCCUUAGGGGGGAGCUGUGUUCUAUGAGUGUUUCACUGUGUGAGUUAGGCCUUCUUCACAUGGGUGGAGCUGUUUUUAAUUCAGUUCUAUUUUCCUUGUGGAAAGUUCUAUUUUCCUUGUGGAAAGAUGUUGCGGUGUGCUGCGUACUGGCUGAUGCAGAAUAAGAGAGCCCAAAAUAAAGUUGCUACCGUGAUGACCACGA